UCUGAUUCCUGCACAGAGGAGCAGAGUGAGGCGCUGUCAGCUUCUUCCAACGUCCCCUUUAAAAUUCCACUCAUAGCUGUCACAUGGACCUGCAGAAGGAACGGGAGCCGAGCAUUGAAAUCUGUGCCCGCUGACUGCAGUCAAGGAUUUGGAGUCAUCGUAGGGUCUAGUGCUUUGAACCACACAGACUGCGCUACCCAUAACGCUGCAAACAAUUACACCCUGAUUCGCUCUUAUUUCUCAUUCUCAUUUUGGUAACGUCAUCGGUUUGAACCCCCAAAGGGGUCCCCCAGUUGAGAACUACUAGCCUAAAGGCUUGAGGAUGAGAGCGCGUUCGAAAGAUGCUUUGUAUGGAGCUACAAGAAGUGCGUGGCCUGGAGAGCACACAGCCUCUAGGAGCAUAAUCCAAUGUCAACCUAAGGAGCUGAAGUCUACCAUCAACAUGAGUAGCCUGGAAUGUGAUGUUCCACCACAGUAGGCUGCCAGGAGCCCCACUGAACUGACGCUUUGAUUCUAGCCUGUGGGAUUCUGGGCAAUGAACACAGCCUUGCUUUCUGAAUCUCAGAGGUGCUUAUGUUAUGCCCGUGAUAAUUUCUCACAGAACCGAGAACUAACAGCCUAACAGAUUCAUUCAGCUAUUGUUAUUAUUAAUAUCAAGGCCAAGGUCACAGAGGCAGAUCAUAGAGCCAGAAUCUAAACUCAGACGUCUGUCUACAUGUUUGAAGCACCGUACAUCGUGAUUUUUUCUUCCUCUCUCAGUGAUACCUUACUGCGUAAAAUGGUUUCCUUUUCUCCCUCCCAGCCUCUCCACUCCCUUCUGCUUACAUUUCCUUUUUCCUUCCCUUUCUUUUCAAAGACAGGGUCCUGCUACACAUUCUUAUUCAUCCUGUGUCUCUGUCUUUCUGUCUUUCUGUCUCUCUCUGUGUCUGUGUCUCUGUCUCUCUGCCUCUCUCUCUUUCUAUCUCUUUCUGUCUCUAUCCCUCUGUCUCUGUCUCUCUCUGUCUCUCUGUCUCUGUGUGUGUCUCUCUCUCCUCUUCCUCCUCCUUCUCUCCUGUCCCCCCUGCUCUGCUUUCCUUUCUUCAUUAUUCUUCCUGUGAGCCUUUCUACCUGGCUAUGGGAAUUCUACCAAAAGGCUUCUUCUGCUCCCCCUGCCCCCCCCCAACACCCCUGGAUCAUCUGCUCACCUUUACCUUGAGGUAUAUGAAGAUUGAGUAAAUAACACACUGAUUCUCAGCGUGAAAACACCUAUCCUUGGUUUCUUUGUCACUAACCCAGCACUGUGACUUGUUGUAAAUUUUGCCUAAGGAUUGUUCUUUGGAGCACAACACAAUUGACAAAACAAACAACAACAACAAAAGCAGGGUUUCUGAACAGUGUGUGGGUUUCUGGUUGCUUGUUUUCUGUUUGUUUAUUUGUUUGUUUGUUCAGCACUGGGAGUCAAAACCAGGGCCUCCUCCAAGCUAAGAAGCACUCUUUCACUAAGCUACACCCACAGACCCGUAAUUUUAGCUUUAAUCACAUGUUACUGGACAUCGUUAGCAUAACCAAGUGGGACUCAUUGACCCCAAUAUGUGUCAAAGAGAUAGCUUAAAUAUACACUGCUAUGUUUUAUACAUUAAUAUUAAUACUUACAUAUAAUACAAUGACUUAAUUACAUUAAUUUGCAAUUCAUUUAUUGGUUGAACAUAAGAUGUUCUCAAUGAAUGUAUAUAUAAAAGAGAAGUCACUCCUCAGUAUUGUGAGGGAUUGGUUCCAAGAAACCCCAUCUUAAAAUCUACAAAUGUUCAUGUCCAUGGAAAUACUCAGGAUUUCGCACAGCACACUAGUUCAUGAUGGAUGGCUUCUGCAUUCUGUGUUAUGUCAGACCCCAUAAAAGCAUGAUGAUCAUAGCUGUUACACUAUCUUGCUUAAGAAGCACAUGCCAUUUCCCCCUAAUAUGUUCAACCUAUAGGUGGUUGAAUCUGUGACCAGCUAAUAUGGAGGGCUGACUGCUGCAUUAUAAUGAAGCAAAGCAGAGAGGCAUGAAAUGGGGAAUGUAUGCAGAUGAAAUCCCUCAUUAACACAGGAAAACUCAAGUGCAGCUUAGACAAUAAAAAAAAAAAAAAAAAAAAAAAACUGCAACGUG
rnacentral:lncRNA from 1 species